rnacentral:rRNA from 1 species
CCUACGGGUGGCAGCAGUGAGGAAUAUUGGUCAAUGGACGCAAGUCUGAACCAGCCAUGCCGCGUGCAGGAAGACGGCUCUAUGAGUGGUAAACUGCUUUUGUACGAGGGUAAACUCCGAUACGCGUAUCUUUCUGAAUGUAUCUUACGAAUAAGGAUCGGCUAACUCCGUGCCAUCAGCCGCGGUAAUACGGAGGAUUCAAUCGUUAUCCGGAUUUAUUGGGUUUAAAGGGUGCGUAGGCGGUCGGAUAGGUUAGCGGUGAAAUCCCGGGGCUCAACUUCGGAAUUGCCUCUGAUACUGUUCGGCUAGAGCGUAGUUGCGGUAGGCGGAAUGUAUGGUGUAGCGGUGAAAUGCUUAGAGAUCAUCCAGAACACCGAUUGCGAAGGCAGCUUACCAAGCUACUUCUGACGUUGAGGCACGAAAGCGUGGGGAGCAAACAGGAUUAGAUACCCGAGUAGUC